AAUAAGCGGAGGAAAAGAAACUAACAAGGAUUCCCCUAGUAACGGCGAGUGAAGCGGGAAGAGCUCAAAUUUGUAAUCUGGCACUUUCAGUGUCCGAGUUGUAAUCUCGAGAAGUGUUUUCCGCGCCGGACCGCAUACAAGUCUGUUGGAAUACAGCGUCAUAGUGGUGAGAACCCCGUAACUGAUGCGGAUGCCCGGUGCUUUGUGAUACACUUUCGAAGAGUCGAGUUGUUUGGGAAUGCAGCUCAAAUUGGGUGGUAAAUUCCAUCUAAAGCUAAAUAUUGGCGAGAGACCGAUAGCGAACAAGUACCGUGAGGGAAAGAUGAAAAGCACUUUGGAAAGAGAGUUAACAGUACGUGAAAUUGUUGGAAGGGAAACGAUUGAAGUCAGACUUGUUAUCUGGAGUUCAGCCUUUCGGUGUACUCUCCAGUUUACAGGCCAGCAUCAGUUUUCGGGGCGGGAAAAUCGUAAUUAGAAGGUAGCAGCCUAGCUGUGUUAUAGCUUUUUACUGGAUUCCGCUUUGGGGACUGAGGAACGCAGUGUGCUUUUAGCAAUACCCUCGGGUAUUUCACACUUAGGAUGCUGGUGGAAUGGCUUUAAACGACCCGUCUUGAAAC
rnacentral:rRNA from 1 species